AAGAUUCAAGAUUUCACUGGCACCUGUUUCCAGAAGAAAGCAAUACUUAAUACAGUUUUGUCAGUUUGCUUGAGUACCUUGCCUUACAUGUAUGUUUUCUUAAGAAGUAGAAAAGCAGAAAAAGAAGGAAAAUGAGAUAACCCUCCCCCACCCACCAGUUCUAGAACAGACUGAAAUGACUCAGCUCUGUUCAUAAUGAUUUCACUAACAAUGCCUAGCUAGCGGAGGUCUUCUAUGAAAUGGCACAUAACCUACAAAUUGGGCAAAGAGAGUGGUUUGUUUUUAAUAUCAAGAAUAUUACCUAUGGAAACAAGAGCCAAAUAAUCCCUUGGAUCAUAGGUUCAGGUGCUGACUUUGAACUAUUUUAAUAUAUAUUGGCAUGUUGCCUUCCAUUUUAUCUGUCCAGUGGAAGAGAGGUAUGGUCUCACAUGACUGGGGUAUUCACGAAGAUUUCUGUAGCCCUCAGGAAGCCAGGUCUCUUGAACAUACCAGUUUCCUCCAGGAACUCUGCAGGUGGAGGAAGAAACGCCAAGAUCUUCCAUGGAAAGGCAGGAAAAAGAAAGACAAGUCUUCACAGGGAAACAAUGGGAUCAUCUCACCCACUCUAUCAAGCUCAUGUCAUUGCAAAUGGCUCAGCACCGUGUUCUGACGUUUAGAAGUUACAGACUUUCUUCUGUAUUUUCAAUUAAAAGGAUUUUAGACUCUAGUACAUAGAGUUCUGCAGACACUGUUUUGCAGUGAUUUCAUUUAAAUGUCCCUGUGAUGACUUUGUGGGAUUCAACCAUUAGUGACUGCAUUUAAAGGCAAAGAUGUUGCAAGAGGGCUGGGUCCUUAGCCCAAGGCAUGAACUAUUCUUAUUCACCAUGAUUUGGUCCAGAUUUACUAAGAUCUGGAAGCACUCCCUGACAGCUUGCUGG
rnacentral:lncRNA from 1 species